rnacentral:rRNA from 1 species
UACGGAGGGUGCAAGCGUUAUCCGGAUUCACUGGGUUUAAAGGGAGCGUAGGUGGGCUGGUAAGUCAGUGGUGAAAUCCCCGAGCUUAACUUGGGAACUGCCAUUGAUACUAUCAGUCUUGAAUACUGUGGAGGCUAGCGGAAUAUGUCAUGUAGCGGUGAAAUGCUUAGAUAUGACAUAGAACACCAAUUGCGAAGGCAGCUUGCUACACGAGUAUUGACACUGAGGCACGAAAGCGUGGGGAUCAAACAGG